rnacentral:rRNA from 1 species
CUGCGAAUGGCUCAUUAUAUAAGUUAUCGUUUAUUUGAUAGUACCUUACUACUUGGAUAACCGUGGUAAUUCUAGAGCUAAUACAUGCUAAAAAUCCCGACUUCGGAAGGGAUGUAUUUAUUAGAUUAAAAACCAAUGCCCCCCGGGGCUCUCUGGUGAUUCAUGAUAACUUCUCGAAUCGCACGGCCUUGCGCCGGCGAUGGUUCAUUCAAAUUUCUUCCCUAUCAACUUUCGAUGUUUGGGUAGUGGCCAAACAUGGUUGCAACGGGUAACGGAGGGUUAGGGCUCGACCCCGGAGAAGGAGCCUGAGAAACGGCUACUACAUCCAAGGAAGGCAGCAGGCGCGCAAAUUACCCAAUCCCGAUUCGGGGAGGUAGUGACAAUAAAUACUGAUACAGGGCUCUUUCGGGUCUUGUAAUUGGAAUGAGUACAAUUUAAAUCCCUUAACGAGGAACAAUUGGAGGGCAAGUCUGGUGCCAGCAGCCGCGGUAAUUCCAGCUCCAAUAGCGUAUAUUAAAGUUGUUGUGGUUAAAAAGCUCGUAGUUGAACCUUGGGCCUGGCUGGCCGGUCCGCCUCACCGCGUGUCACUGGUCCGGCCGGGUCUUUCCCUCUGUGGAACCACAUGCCCUUCACUGGGCGUGGCGGGGAAACAGGACUUUUACUUUGAAAAAAUUAGAGUGCUCCAGGCAGGCCUAUGCUCGAAUACAUUAGCAUGGAAUAAUGAAAUAGGACGUGCGGUUCUAUUUUGUUGGUUUCUAGGACCGCCGUAAUGAUUAAUAGGGACAGUCGGGGGCAUCAGUAUUCAAUUGUCAGAGGUGAAAUUCUUGGAUUUAUUGAAGACUAACUACUGCGAAAGCAUUUGCCAAGGAUGUUUUCAUUAAUCAGGAACGAAAGUUAGGGGAUCGAAGACGAUCAGAUACCGUCGUAGUCUUAACCAUAAACUAUGCCGACUAGGGAUCGGACGAUGUUAUUUAGUUGACUCGUUCGGCACCUUACGGGAAAUCAAAGUGC